rnacentral:rRNA from 1 species
GAUGAACGCUGGCGGCGUGCCUAAUACGUGCAAGUCGAGCGAACGGACGAGAAGCUUGCUUCUCUGAUGUUAGCGGCGGACGGGUGAGUAACACGUGGAUAACCUACCUAUAAGACUGGGAUAACUUCGGGAAACCGGAGCUAAUACCGGAUAAUAUUUUGAACCGCAUGGUUCAAAAGUGAAAGACGGUCUUGCUGUCACUUAUAGAUGGAUCCGCGCUGCAUUAGCUAGUUGGUAAGGUAGCGGCUUACCAAGGCAACGAUGCAUAGCCGACCUGAGAGGGUGAUCGGCCACACUGGAACUGAGACACGGUCCAGACUCCUACGGGAGGCAGCAGUAGGGAAUCUUCCGCAAUGGGCGAAAGCCUGACGGAGCAACGCCGCGUGAGUGAUGAAGGUCUUCGGAUCGUAAAACUCUGUUAUUAGGGAAGAACAUAUGUGUAAGUAACUGUGCACAUCUUGACGGUACCUAAUCAGAAAGCCACGGCUAACUACGUG